UACGGAGGGUGCAAGCGUUGUUCGGAAUUACUGGGCGUAAAGCGCGUGCAGGCGGUUGAGCAAGUCAGAUGUGAAAGCCUUCCGCUUAACGGAAGAAGUGCAUUUGAAACUACUCGGCUGGAGUUCGGGAGAGGAGAGUGGAAUUCCCGGUGUAGAGGUGAAAUUCGUAGAUAUCGGGAGGAACACCGGUGGCGAAGGCGGCUCUCUGGCCCGAUACUGACGCUGAUACGCGAAAGCGUGGGGAG
rnacentral:rRNA from 1 species